rnacentral:rRNA from 1 species
AUACGUAGGGGGCGAGCGUUGUCCGGAAUUACUGGGCGUAAAGGGUGCGUAGGCGGCCCUUUAAGUCGGAUGUGAAAGCCCGCGGCUUAACCGCGGAAUGGCAUUCGAAACUGGAGGGCUUGAGUGUCGGAGAGGGUAGUGGAAUUCCCAGUGUAGCGGUGAAAUGCGUAGAUAUUGGGAGGAACACCAGUGGCGAAGGCGACUACCUGGACGAUAACUGACGCUGAGGCACGAAAGCUAGGGGAGCAGACAGGAUUAGAUACCCUGGUAGUCCUAGCCGUAAACGAUGGGUACUAGGUGUGGGUGGUUUCGAUACCAUCCGUGCCGUAGUUAACGCAUUAAGUAUCCCGCCUGGGGAGUACGGUCGCAAGGCUGAA